rnacentral:rRNA from 1 species
GACGAACGCUGGCGGCGUGCUUAACACAUGCAAGUCGAACGGAAAGGCCCUGCUUUUGUGGGGUGCUCGAGUGGCGAACGGGUGAGUAACACGUGAGUAACCUGCCCUUGACUUUGGGAUAACUUCAGGAAACUGGGGCUAAUACCGGAUAGGAGCUCCUGCUGCUUGGUGGGGGUUGGAAAGUUUGGGCGGUUGGGGAUGGACUCGGGGCUAAUCAGCUGGUUGGUGGGGUAGUGGCUUACCAAGGCUUUGACGGGUAGCCGGCCUGAGAGGGUGACCGGCCACAUUGGGACUGAGAUACGGCCCAGACUCCUACGGGAGGCAGCAGUGGGGAAUAUUGCACAAUGGGCGGAAGCCUGAUGCAGCAACGCCGCGUGCGGGAUGACGGCCUUCGGGUUGUAAACCGCUUUCGCCUGUGACGAAGCGUGAGUGACGGUAAUGGGUAAAGAAGCACCGGCUAACUACGUG